rnacentral:lncRNA from 1 species
CCUCUCCCUGCCUCCUUCAACAGGGUUUCCCCUUCAGGCCUCCGGGGUCCCCUCCCCAUACCUGAGCUCGCUGGCCUCCUCCCGCUACCCCCCAUUCCCUUCUGACUACCUGGCCCUGCAGCUGCCCGAGCCCAGUCCCCUGAGGCCCAAGCGGGAGAAACGGCCCCGCCUGCCCCGGAAACUCAAGGUACCCUGACGUGGGGGUGCUAGGGAGGGGCAGGACGGCAGGAGGACAGUCACCUGAGGGAGGCUGAAGGCGGGGGCCUGUCAGAGAACCAUGAACAGUUAAUUUGGGGACCCAGUCAGCACUUAGCACUGAGGGGUGGAUCACAGAAGUCUCGGCUUACAGGCUUGUAUGGAGACAAAUCAGGGCAGAACCAGCCUUGGAGGACCCGGUGUGCAGAUGCCAGGGAUCCCGCCCUUUCAUGGCUGCAGUGUAGCGGGGCCAGGCUCAUUUUCCCAGGGGGGCGUGUUGUGUGAUGCCAGGUAGCCCCAGACCGGGUCAGGAUUAUGGGAUCUAGAGUCAAGUCAAGACUGCCUGUUAGAAACCACGUGGCCUUGAGCAGGUCUCUGCUACCCUCUAGGCCUCCUAGGCUUGGCACCUAUAGGGCGAGUGGUCCUACUCGAUGUGACCAGCAAGCGCCCCUGGAGCGCCUCCUGUUACACGGCAGUGCACAAAGCAGACCAGUGCCUGCCCUCACAGAGCUCACAGUCUAGCAAGAUAGGCAGAAAACACACCAGAAAAGUAGGUACUUGUGGAGAAGAACAGAGCGAGGUCCAGAGCAUGGGGACGCCAGGGGGACGAGGCUGACACUUAGGGCCCAGCAGUCUGGGAUGUUCUUGAUCAGAGACUUACAGGAAAUGGCAGCAAGCUGUGUGGCUCCUGGGCAGUGUUUCUGUCGGGCAGAGUCUGUGUUUGGGAGAAAAGUAAGCAGGGAAUUGGGUCCCGGAGCAGGUCAGAGGGGGAGCUCAUGAGGUGCCAGUGUGCAGGAUUCGCUGUGAAUGAAGCCUUGGAGACAGCAGUUCCCUGGCGGGGCGCAGGUUGCAGGUGUGGAGGGGGAGUGAUCUAAUUGCAUCUUAACAAAAUUGCAGACACUGGUGGUCAGAGAACAGACUGAGCGGUGGAGUGAGUUGGGACGGGAGUGAGGAGGCCACCACGGUAAACCAGGCCAAGGGCAGAGGGUCCAGAGGGAGCUGCGGACCCAUUUCAGAGAAUGAGCAUGGGAGUUCCUGGAGGACCUGGUGUGGGCUGUGCGGGAGAGAGGCCAGGAUGCCUCCAGGGCUUUAGUCUGAGCACGAGUGGAGUCUCCCUCCCUGGAGAUGGGAGGGCUGUGGGACCACAGGCUUGGAGGAAAACUGAGUCUGGCCGCGGAUGUGUCAGAUGCCAUCUGGAAAGGCAGCUAGAUAGCGGCCCGUGAGGGGCUGCGCAUUUGGAAGCCGCCAGGCUGGCGGUAGAUGCAAGCCUUGGGAGAGAUGGGGAUGGGCUGAGGGGCAGAGCGGAGUGGGGACCAACUGGGCGGCUCCCAGGGUUCUGGAGCCAGAAGCAGAAUGAGAGGCCGCAUUUGCGGUGGUCUGGAGUACAGGAUCUGGAGCUCUAAUCCCAACUCUGCCGUUUUCUCCGUGUGACCUUGGCCCUGUGAGGCUUCACCUCUUGAGCCUGAGAAGCAGAGGGGAGCGGGAGUCCCUGAAGGGCCAGGGGAGUGAGGAGAUGGAAGGAAGGGAGUCCAAGCAGAGGAAGGAUAGCUGUGAAGACAGAAGCAGGUUGGUUCUGUCAGGCCUGAGUUGGACUUGGCCAGCUUUGAAUCCCAGCUCUUCCAGUGCUCACCAUGCGACCUCAGCGUUGUCAUUUCACUCUUUAAGCCACAGCUCUCUUUCUCCAUUCAGUGGCGGCAUUGUGCGGAGAAUGUGAGUGAAGGGAUGAAAAUCGCUCGGCCCGUGCCUGGCCCCUAGUAAGCCACAGAGAAAUGUGAGCCGCUGCCAGUCAGGCUGAGAGGACGCCACUGAGGAAGUCCAGGCCAGGAGCGCGCGCUCUGGCUGCCGUGCGGAGGAGCUGGAUCUGGGAGAGGCUGCGGGCAGGGAGUCCAGUUAGGAGGCUGGGACCGCAGCCCAGAUGUUCAGCGAUGCAGGUAGCGGGGACGAUGCCUUGGAUGGAGACGAUGACCUGGUGAUCGACAUCCCGGAGUGACCGUGACAUCACGCCAUGCCCACCACGGCCCCGCCCGGCGCCCUCCCCGUGCCAGCACACACGAGUCCAGCUUCCUCGGAGGUGUUUAUUGAUGCCCAGCUGCCAUGCUCCGGCCACUGACACAACCAGAAAAGG